CCCGAGUAGUGGUUAUUCCUCCAGCCAGCUGUGCACUGAACCAGCAGCCCCAGCCCACAACCACGGCAGCACGCUGGCUUGGCUGACUCAGAGACAGGAAGGGUUGGGCACAAUGGGACAGGUCCAGCAAAACAUGAGUAGGCCUGCAAACAACAGCUGUUGAAGUGCAGCCCAGAUAAUAACGCCAGAAUGAGCCUCCCCAAAAGGGUCUCACUCUGGACCGUGGUGGAUGUGUUUGACUGGGUCAAGGAGCAGUACCCCUACCAAAAGAGUGUCCUCCAAGUGGCCAUCUUCAAGCAUGACAUAUCCGGCCGAGCUCUGCUGAGGAUGGGUGAACACCAAUUGGAGAGGAUGGGGGUGGAGGUGGAGCAUCUUCAGGAGGUCCUACUGGACAUCCUUCUCCUCAGGGUCCAGGAGGAACUUGAGAACCUUAACGACAUCUUCUCUGGAAAUCCAGGCUGGGACUCCCUGCAGAAAGGCCAUGCAGUUUGACCAGGUGUUGGAAGCUGUGGAGCUGUGGCAGUGUCCAGGUUCUCCCAGGGAGUGUGAGAGAUGGGUGUCUGGAUCACGGGUGUUGGCCAGGGGUACCGCUGGGCUCUGUGCUGGCCCCAGUACUUUUCACUGAGCAGGAGAGAGACACGUGCCGUGGACUUGUCUGGUGGGGCCAGAUGGAAGUUGUCUGGCUACAGCUUUCAUCUUCCUAUGCUGCUGGGCAACCAUACAACUUGUAGUGUGUAAAGAGCUGCAUGGUAGGCUGCAUGAUUUUCACAAUUGAAAUUGACAAGCACCAUUGAAAGUAAAUAUCUACAGUAUCCUGUAUCUUCAUUUCAAACAUGGAAAAUGUCUCCUUGGAGAUGGCAUUUGUGUUCACAAACAGA
ensembl:lncRNA